CUUAGACUAAACCCAGACUGUAACAUUCAGGUCAGCCCCGUUGGACGCAGCUGCUGUGAGGGCAGCAUUUUCUGCAGCAGCUCCUGAGAAGACAGACAUAACAGCCCAGACAGAAUUCAGCACCAGACAGCUGAUAUUUUAUUUACUUGACACAAAGCUAGAGCUUUACAAAGAAAACCAGUAAACCACAAGGGACAUCUUUUACAACAACUGAGCCCACAUUAGCCCAAAGAUGGAAGGAAGCAAUGGAAGACUGGAGAAAGAUAAGCCUUAAUUAGGACACAGAAGGAAUGCUACAAAUAUCUGAAGAGUCUAAUGCUGCUGUAGAUGCUAUGAAGUGGUGCUAUUCAGAUGCACUCGAUGUUGGGCUAUCCUUUCAGAAGAGCAUGUUUCCUAUAGAUCCUGCAUUGUACCUGCCAAUCUCAUGCAGAUAUGUUAAAUAUUCCAGAAUUUCUCAAGGGUAUAUUUAGACACCUGAAACUUUGCCAGAAUCUGAUAAAAACAGAAAACAGAAGAAUGGGGAAGAAAUUAUGGAAAUGGGACAAAAAGCAUAUAAAUUUUUUUGAAACUGUAACCAGUUAUUUCAUAAUGCACUAAGAAUAGUCGAGGAAGUGAAAGAUACUGGGGUAAACUGGGAAACUGUGCAAAGACAAAAGGCUGCUAGUACAGAAGUUAAGAAAAAACAAACAAAUGAACAAACAAACAACAACCAAAACCAGCCAAACAACCAUCAAAAACCCAGAUGAAAAAAACCAAAAAUCCCAAACAAAAAAACAACCAACAACAACAAAAACCAAAACAAAAAUCCUUGGGAACAAGAAGUUCCAGAUUGUGAUUAGAAGCCUACAGGGGGGAAAAAAGGAAACAAAGAGAACCAACAUGAUAACAGUGUGCAAGACAGAGGGAAGCUAAGGAGCCUGAGAUUAACAAUAUGGGUAAAAUACAAGUAAUUACAGAUCUGAGCUGUAAGGAAAAUUUGAUAAUGAGGGCGCAAUAUAUAGGGGAGUUUUGCAGUGGAAUUUGAAAGUAAUGGGGAAGAGACUAACAAAGUUGUGAUAUGUGAGUUGGAGAGAGGUUUUUGUCCAGGAGAUACAUGUCCUAAAUGUAUUCCCUAUCAAAGUACUGACAUCUUUCUUACUUGGAAUAAACAUAACAUUACAUUUUGAAGUUUAACUUUGGUAAACUGGAUGAGAAUCAGCAUAGGGAAAAAAAAACAACUUUACUCAUGCUAAGAAGAAAAUAGUCUUCAUGUGAUUCAGGCCCUAUCCAGUGCCAAUUCUUUCUGUUUAAUACAAGUUAUUCAAGUUAACUAUGAGUUGUUAUGAUUGCAGAAGUAAAUGCUAUUUUCUACACAAAGGGAGACUUCCACAUAUUCCUUGUACUCAAAAGUGGCAGGCAUACUAAAAUUACACUCUUAGCACAAAAAAGUGUUUUUCAAAAACUGAAUUUCAAUUUUAGUUGAAACACAAACAUACUGCAGGAUGUUUUGGGCAAUUUAGACCUGGUAGUCAUUGCUACUUCUGCACUCAUUAAUUUCCAUUUUUCAGUUAAAAAUAAUCUAAACAUUUAAUAUGUUUUUUAAUUCUUUAUAUUCUAUUCAGUCUGAAAAGUAUUUCAAAAUUCUUUCACUGCAUCUGAAGCAUAGUAAUAAACAGGAAAAUCUGAAAAUCUUACUUAAUAAAAUUCCAAAGGUUGGACAUUUGCUGCCAUAAAUUUUGUUUUUUAUUUUUAGCUUACUUCAACUUGCUGCAAAACACAACUAUUUUUAAAGUGGAUAUUUCUAAAAACUAUUUGUUAAAAUAGAACAUUCUUUAUCUCAUAAAAUAAGGGUGCAUAACUGGUAUAGAUGCAGUCAAAUUAGAAAUGCUUUUUAUACUUUCAAACUGCUUUCCUGUGCCUGCCACAAAAUUAAGGAAGAUAAAUGCAUGUCCUGAGAUCUGAACACAGAGAUGCAGAAUUAGAACCUAUCUGGAAUAAUGUCCUCAUCUCUUUGCAAUGAUUUUUAAUUAUUCAGUUGUAAUGAUUCUUAUUAUUUAGGUUACAUUUUUGAAAACAGUUCUAGUCUCCAUGAUUUUACUCUAAAUAUUAAAAUUAAAAGUGGUUUAGUUGAUGUCAUUUACACCACAUAUUUUAUAGAAAUAUAUAAGAUGUUAUAAAAAAAAUUGUUUACUCAGAGUGUAGUGAGGCACUGGAGUAUUUUGCCUAGAGAAGUUGUAGAAAUUGUGGAAGUCUUCACAGCCAGGUUGGAUAAGCAACCUGGUGUAGUGAGGUCAGUAGCAACUAGAAGAUCUUAAGGUCCCUUCUACCCAAGACUUUCUAUGAUUCUAUAAAUUCGUAGUUUAACUUGGGUCAGCAGCAGAAGUGGUACAAUAUUGGGAGGCAAAUGGGGAGAAUGUACUGCAGAGUUGAUGUGGACAUCUUGACCCUGGUGGGCCAGAAGCACUGGGAACAUCAAACAGAAAUGUAAGGGAGGAAGUGAAAAGGAAAUUUGUUUAAAGGAAGUCAUGCAAGACUGUGAUUAAGCAAUGUAGCUAAGAAACAUGAAUAAUUUGAUUAUAGCUUGGCAGUGGAGAAUUUUACCUAAAGCUGUAAGAGUAUAUAAACUGAGCUGUAGAAACAAUAAACAACUUCUUGCUUGCACUAAGCAGAGUCCUGUCUCUCAAUUGCU